rnacentral:rRNA from 1 species
CGAGAGGCCCAAACGUUAUUCGGAAUUACUGGGCUUAAAGAGUUCGUAGGCGGCGCAGAAAGUAGGGUGUGAAAGCCCUCGGCUUAACCGAGGAAUUGCGCCCUAAACUACUGUGCUUGAGGAACCUAGAGGUGAGCAGAACAGAUGGUGGAGCGGUGAAAUGCGUUGAUAUCAUCUGGAAUACCGGAGGCGAAGGCGGCUCACUGGGGGUUUUCUGACGCUGAGGAACGAAAGCCAGGGUAGCGAACGGGAUUAGAUACCCCGGUAGUCCUGGCCGUAAACGAUGAGCACUAGGCCGGAGGGCUGCACAGCCUUUCGGCCGUAGCUAAAGUGUUAAGUGCUCCGCCUGGGGAGUAUGGUCGCAAGGCUG